rnacentral:rRNA from 1 species
ACGGCCGCGGUAUUUUGACCGUGCGAAGGUAGCGCAAUCACUUGUCUUUUAAAUGAAGACCUGUAUGAAUGGCACCACGAGGGCUUAACUGUCUCCCUCUCCCAGUCAAUGAAAUUGAUCUCCCCGUGCAGAAGCGGGGAUAAAAACAUAAGACGAGAAGACCCUAUGGAGCUUAAGACGCCAAGGCAGCUCACGUUAAACACUCCCAAAUAAGGGGACAAACCAAGUGAACCUCUGCCCUAAUGUCUUUGGUUGGGGCGACCGCGGGGAAAAAUUAAACCCCCAUGUGGAAUAGGAGUACUACGCUCCUACAUCCAAGAGCUCCCGCUCUAAUAAACAGAAUUUCUGACCAACAAGAUCCGGCAAUGCCGAUCAACGGACCGAGUUACCCUAGGGAUAACAGCGCAAUCCUCUUAAAGAGCCCUUAUCGACAAGGGGGUUUACGACCUCGAUGUUGGAUCAGGACAUCCUAAUGGUGC